ACAUUCAAGAAUCACCUCUCAACACACAACUAAGAAACAUAGCUAGGUAACCAGGGAAGGUAGCAUCAGCAGCAGGAGGCAAUGGAGGGAAAGAGGACUACCACUUCGAUGGUGAUCAUGUGCCUGGUCAUCUUGAGCCUCACUGUCGACUCCGCCACCGCGGCACAGUGCGGCUGCUGCAUAUCCUCUCGGGCAAAAGCAUGUUGUUUUGGUUGUAUUGCUGCUGGUGGCUCCGACUCAAUCUGCAAGAACACUUGUUGUUUCCCAUGUAUUCUGGCCGAUUCUGUUGUUGCUAAGAUGGACGAAAUGGGAGUUCUUGCUAAGAUGGAAGGACAAGCCUAAAACAACCUACUCGCAUUGCUACCAGUCUUAAUGCCUUUCAUAAGAAUAUGUUGUUUUGCUUCAAGUUAUGGCCAAGUUAUGUUAAUGUUUAUCUCCAAUAAAUUGUUGACCAUAUGGAGCGAUCUAUAGUCGAUCCAUCUGUUGGUCCCAACUAUUUGUAUGUCGUGCAUAUGUGCGCUCACAAGCAUAUUUAAUUUCUCUUGCUACUUUUAAUAAGGCCAUAGCACUAUCCAAUGUGUCAUCUGUUGGUCUCUGACCUUAGCAAUUUAAUGCAACAUGAUUAUUAUUAUUUGUGUGUGCAUGUUCUUUACUUAAUUUAUUCUUAGCGUAUUUCUGAUGUUUUUGUGAGUUUUAGACUAUGGGAGAUAAUUAAGAUUGUCAUGCCAAAGAGUAUUCCGAAUCCUACUAGGAAAGCAAAGGGAGGGGGGAGGAAACAUGGUCAAUUUCUCGGCUGCUAUCACAUUCCUUGUAUUCUUAGUGUAACAUACCCGAAAUUUUAGGACUUAAAAUUUCUUGUCAAAAUAGUUAGAGGUUAACUUCUCCAAUUUUGAGAGAGCCAAAAAUUUCCGUUUUAAUUUAGGUGAAGAUCAACUUAAACCAUUGCAUGAUUAUAAUUUGAGAACAAAAUAAAAUCUUUUCAUUCCCAACAUUAGACUAGAAAUGUCACCAAGCAUACAUGUACAUAAUGCAUGCCUAGGCUCGAGUUCUUUGUGCAUUUGGAGUUUUGGUCUUGCAUUCCAUAAUAGGUCCCAUGAGCAUAAUCUAAAAGAAUUAUUUCACCAAACAAACCUAUAGUUAAUCUUGGGUGAUAACAUGUGGACUUAAUAUUAAACUCAAAUAUCAUCUUCUCAGUCUAAAAGAAAAUUUAAUGUAAUCCCUAUAAUAAUAUUAAAUGCAAUUAUGAAGUGGGAAUACAUAUACAAACAAAGGUCAUCCUAAUUCUCUAAAAUAUUUUGUGCAAGAUAAAAUCAUGGAAAAAUUUAUGUGGAUAGUGAUUAGCACAAACUUAUCCUCCGUAAUUUGGUAACGUGUUAACACUCAAGUUGAUACCUCAAAUUAAACGGUCAAAGCAGACAACUAAAAGAAAUCAAAUUAAAUUUUAAUCGGCUAAAACCAUGUUUCAUCCAAAAGUACAUUUAACUGCACAUAAGUGAACAUGGGAAAUAAUGUAUUCAAAUACUAGACUAGUUAUCAUGCCUAAAUAUAAUUUUUCUAGAAUUUUCCUCCUCUCUUUAAGCCUCCUAAAAAUUCAAUCUAGCUUUCUAAUAGCCCAUCUUUGUUUAAUUUCUGUGAGCAGUCCACCCAUUAUUUUUUUAGUGCAACCAAAGAAAAUGGAAUCUAGGUGUAAUCAUCUACCACCAGUAAAAUCUACACUAAUUCUUCUGGUCUACACAUUGAAUUAUGUAGUUACAAAGUUAGAGGAGAAAAUAAUUCCGAAAAAAAUGAUCUAAAAAUCAAGUUUACCCAGAAUCUUACCCAACCCUCUCACCCUAGCCUAGUUUGCCAUGACCUGGACCCACCUGGCAGCCUCUCCAGCUCGCCCUUCCUCUGUCCCUCAUCCUCAGCCGACCAAGAAACACAUAGAGGGAGAGAUUGAGAGCCGACCGAGUCCUGGACGCGUCGACGCGUGGUGACGACGUGUCGACGCCUUCAAGUCACUGAGUCAUGCCUCCAUCUCCUCCAGACCGAGUCGCCCAACUCCACACAUCACUCUGGAGCUGAAGAAGCCGAGGGAGAGGUCCUCAGCCUCUCCGUCAUCCUCAACCUCGCCACUGGUCGUAGUGACGACGACCUUCGCCAUCUCCGUUUGAGUCAAGGUCACCUCCAUCUCUUUCGCGUUCCCAUCUCUCCACACAAUGCCGAGCAUUUCCUCUUUUGACCUAAACCCCUCUCGUGCAGUGCAUCGCCAGGAACGCAAGCCACGCCGACAACGCCCUGGAGCACGCACCGGAGCGCCGCCGCUUCAACCAUCGUCGCCGUCCGGCCAUUCUCAUCCACCUCAGAGAAAGCCGCUGCGCCAUUGUCAUCGCCUCGACCUCCUCUUCAAAACGCCUCAAGAACCCCAGCCGGAAACAUCAAGAACACGGAGAACACAUCCUUUUCUUCACCGGCGCCAAUCUAGGAUCGCCUCCGCCGUCAUCGUCGUUUACCGCUGCCUCGGUGAGCCAUUGUUCGAUUCCUUGCGCAUACACCAUCUCCUUGACCUCACAACCCUCGUGCAUGCUUGCUUGAAGCAGCUCAUUGUCCCGUUCGAGCCGUCGUCGUUCACCCGAGGAGGAGCGCCGUCGCCGAGCCGUUCCACAAGUCACCGCUGCCGCCAAGACCUCGACAACCCUAGCUCGACCCACGGUUUAGUCUUAGUCU